UAUAUGAUACAGAGAAGAUUAGUAUAGCCCUUGUAUAAGAAUGAUAUACACAUUCAAGAAGUGCUUCUUAUUUAU
rfam:Fukomys damarensis contig118878, whole genome shotgun sequence.